UACGGAGGGAGCUAGCGUUGUUCGGAAUUACUGGGCGUAAAGCGCACGUAGGCGGCUUUGUAAGUUAGAGGUGAAAGCCCGGGGCUCAACUCCGGAACUGCCUUUAAGACUGCAUCGCUUGAAUCCAGGAGAGGUGAGUGGAAUUCCGAGUGUAGAGGUGAAAUUCGUAGAUAUUCGGAAGAACACCAGUGGCGAAGGCGGCUCACUGGACUGGUAUUGACGCUGAGGCGCGAAGGCGUGGGGAGCGAACGGG
rnacentral:rRNA from 1 species